rnacentral:rRNA from 1 species
GACGAACGCUGGCGGCGUGCUUAACACAUGCAAGUCGAACGGAAAGGCCUCUUUCGGGGGGUACUCGAGUGGCGAACGGGUGAGUAACACGUGAGUAUCCUGCCCUUGACUUUGGGAUAACUUCAGGAAACUGGGGCUAAUACCGGAUAGGAGCUCCUGCUGCAUGGUGGGGGUUGGAAAGUUUCGGCGGUUGGGGAUGGACUCGCGGCUUAUCAGCUUGUUGGUGGGGUAGUGGCUUACCAAGGCUUUGACGGGUAGCCGGCCUGAGAGGGUGACCGGCCACAUUGGGACUGAGAUACGGCCCAGACUCCUACGGGAGGCAGCAGUGGGGAAUAUUGCACAAUGGGUGGAAGCCUGAUGCAGCAACGCCGUGUGCGGGAUGACGGCCUUCGGGUUGUAAACCGCUUUCGCUCAUGACGAAGCUUUGUGUGACGGUAGUGGGUAAAGAAGCACCGGCUAACUACGUG